ensembl:lncRNA
GUUCUUGUUCGAUUUUGAGACUGUCUUGAUUUCAACAUAGAAACAAAUGCGGUAUGUCUGAUUUAUUUUGCUAACUUUCAUCCCAGACAAAGUAAAGUUGCCAAAGAUGAAUUAAACAGUGCCAAAGAUAAUGGGUCUUUGCUUUCUUGCAGCAACACCAUGUUAUAAUGGAAUAACUGCAUUGUUUGUACACUAGAACUACCAAGUUUUUUUUAUUACUUUGUUGAAAUGAAACCCAUGUACCUAUAGGACCCUGACUUUUCAUAAAUCUGUGUGUUUUAUUCUAAACUUGUUGUUUCAUUAAAUUAAAAUAUGAAUUGGAUAUAUAUCCUCUUGAGACCUGGUAAUUCAUUUUUGUACACUGUAGUGCAUGUUCAGGUUUUGCACAUAACUCUAAUAGUGUACAUACCACAUACCAAGUCCGGAUGUUCCUUAGAGUGAACAACUGUAGCUUUAAAUUGAUACCCCAUGUGUGGGGGUGUGGCCUUGCCAACUUCCCUUCUCCUGUCUUUUCAAAAUGGCUGGCAUCAGCACUGGCACAUUUUAUGGAAGAAAGAAAUGUUCUUGCCUGUGUUAGAAGAGCACAGAAUUGCAGAAGAUGGUCCCCCUGUAACCCGUAGUAAUUGGAGCCCACAGCAGUAUUUCCAGCAGUACAUUGACAAUGAACUAAUUCAGGACCUGUCCUUCAUCAACCAACGUAUGGUACAGGAUUCAGGCUUAAGCACAACACCAGAAGAAAUCAAGACCUUUUUAGGAAUCUCGAAAAUAUGGUGCGAUCCACUUGCCUGAAAUGGUUGCCAGUCCAAAUCCUUCCAGAUGCAGAAUGCCUGGGUGCACUAGUAGAACCUAUGUGAGAUGUGUUAAAUGUGACAUGUUCCUAUGUGUCUCCAAAAAGUCACAGUGCUUCCUCACAUAUCACAAAUGAAUUGGUAUUUGUGAACUGGCAAACCAAAUGUUCAUCAUAGGGCUAUGGCCAGUGAAAAGUUGAAUGAGUUGUAUGUGUAUUUGACCCUGACUGAGUUGUAUCCUAUGUUUUUGUGAAGUUUUUAUGCAGUUUGUGUGUGUUGUGUUGAUAUCCAGGCAGAUUUUUAAUUCUGUUGAUGUUUUAGGGUCGGGAUGAAUUAAGUCCCGUUGUACACUACAGUUCACAUUAUAAAACAUUAAUGAAAUUAUGAAAAAAUCUAAAAUCUUUGCAAUGUGUUUUUUUACCACCCCAACACAUCCUUUAUAUAAAAAAAAUCUAAACACCUUUCCCCCCCCCCAGGUCUCAGGAGGAUAUAGGUGGUGCAUUGUGGGAUUGUUGACGGUGAUGUACGCUGUCUGCUGUUACCUAACUGCCAACAUUUUUCGAAUUUACUCUUGUUGAGAUAAAUGAAGUUUAAAUAAUGCUGAUUUAAUAACCAUGUAUUCUUAUGUUUUUGUUUUAUUAAAUUGUAUGCUGCAGCCAGGUUAGGGAAAUAUGAAUACACAGAUUGAAUACAAUAACCAUAAAAAGUUUAGAACUCCAUACAUUACACUCAGACUUUACACCUGGCUGAGAUAGAGAGACAGGAUUAAAACCCCACAAUUAACAUACAAAUGAAACUGCCUCCUAUACAGCACAAAGAGACCUUCUGUCUCCAGCCCCCUGAUGUUCUAGUCUAGGUUAGGACAAUAAAAUGUAAAUUACUGUAACCUGGUUAAGAUUUCACACCUGUAUGCAAAUAACCUGUUGAUCUAUGACUGAGAGUAAGAGCAUGCUCUUCUUCAUGGUACAGCGAAAACAAAGAGAUUCGUCCAACAUGUCACCAUGCCAACAAAGAACCAAUAAGGAAGGGUUUUACUCACGAGAGUGAAAAGUAACCGCCCCUGUGGCGGGAGUAUUAAAAACAAUGUUCGAUCUUGAUUCGGGGCGAAUAUUUUGUGGAAGCUCGAGGGUUGAGCAAAAUAUUUGACCGCUGC